rnacentral:rRNA from 1 species
UACGUAGGCGGAAAAUUAAGUCAGUAGUGAAAUCCUGCAGCUUAACUGUAGAACUGUUAUUGAUACUGGUUUUCUUGAAUAUAGUUGAGGUGGGCGGAAUGUGUAAUGUAGCGGUGAAAUGCUUAGAUAUUACACAGAACACCGAUUGCGAAGGCAGCUUACUAAGCUAUGAUUGACGCUGAGGUACGAAAGCGUGGGGAGCGAACAGGAUUAGAUACCCUGGUAGUCC